rnacentral:tRNA from 1 species
GCGGGGUUGCCCUAGCCUGGUAGGGGGCAGGCCUGCUAAGCCUGUGGUCCAUCGUGGCCGCGCGGGUUCAAAUCCCGCACCCCGCGCCA